rnacentral:rRNA from 1 species
GUGCCAGCCGCCGCGGUAAUACGAACCGUCCAAACGUUAUUCGGAAUCACUGGGCUUAAAGGGUGCGUAGGCGGCCCGGCAAGUUGGGUGUGAAAUCCCUCGGCUCAACCGAGGAAUGGCGCCCAAAACUGCCGGGCUGGAGGGAGACAGAGGUGAGCGGAACAGCGGGUGGAGCGGUGAAAUGCGUUGAUAUCCGCUGGAACACCGGUGGCGAAAGCGGCUCACUGGGUCUUUUCUGACGCUGAGGCACGAAAGCCAGGGGAGCGAACGGGAUUAGAUACCCGCGUAGUCC